CGAGGAGAUGGCUCAGUCUGUAAAGGGCAUGCCUUGUAAGCACAAUCUGUGAACAUUUACUGGGUGUCACAUCACUUAGAAAUGCCUGGCCUUUUACAGGUAUUAUUUCAGCUACUGGUGACCUCCAAAUCACACCUCUCCAACCCUCCACUGUGGGGAGGAACUGGAACCUCCCAAUAACGAAGGCUGUGUUCAAGGGCAUGGAGUGAGAUGAACACAAUUAAGAGUCACAAGACCAUUAAGAGAAUUCCAGAACCAAGUUGGGCACGCAGAUGGGAAGCUUCCAUGAGGCUGGGAAAGCCAAAGAAGGAACCACAAGGCAAGAGGUGCAGGUACCCCUGGAGGCAAUGGAUACCUCCUAGGCGCCUCCAGAAGGAAGCAAGUCCUACACACGUGUUGAUUUUGGUAUGGUGACAGCUAUGCAGGACCCUCUCAACUCCCAGAACUGGAAGGUGACCAGUGUGUCCUGUUUUAAGUCACCAAGGUCCUUGUCAACAGCAGCCAGGCACCAACGUGCCUGGUCACACUCUGAACAACCAUAAACAUGACACCCUUAGGGGACACCUUAGGAAAAGAGGUUCUCUCCUUCCACUGUGUGGGUUCUGGGGAUUGAACUCGGGUCUUCAGGUUUGGAGGCAGGCACCCUUUAUCCCUGGAGUCGUCUCCUUGGCCAUGAUGGGUGAGUUUUGAGCCUGGAAUACCAAACACCUGCCUCACUCACCUUCCUUCUUUCUUUCUCCCCUCCCCGCACCCCUGCCCAUCCUUUUCUACAUCUGUCCUUUCCUCCCUUCCUUAUGCCUUGCGCCCUCCUCCUCCUCCAUCUUUCUCUUCCUCCUCCUCUUCCUUUUCCUUCUUGUCUCCCCUCCCCUUCUUUUCUGGUUUCAGUUUCCUGAAAAAGGCUCUCACAGAUGCCAGGCUGGACUACCACUCAGUAUGUACCCGAGGAUGGCCUUGAACUCCUCAUCCUCCUGCCUCUACCUCCCAAGUGCUGGGAUUAGAGGCACGUGCCACCACGCCCGGCUCACACACAUGCUUUCUGUCCCUGCAAAGUGGAGACACUGAGAGGCAUCCAGGAUGCCAGUCACCUACUGAGAAGCCAGUUAAGUGCCUUGAGAUGCGGAGACAUUCGGGACGAGCAGAGGUGCAAAGUGCUGGGAUCCUAUUCCCAUGAUCCAGGGCCUCUCACGCCUAGAGAGUCAUCUGCCACUGAGCUACGCCCUUCCUGAGCUCCAGCAGGCAGGACGCCUCAACAAACACACAAGAGGCCAAGAGACCCAGGCCUUGGGAAUUCUUCAAGUUUCCUACUGGAACACAAGGUCUCUCGUGUUAUUGUCCCCUUCCGAAGCCGUCCUCGUCCUGUUGGGUC